rnacentral:rRNA from 1 species
UACGGAGGGUGCAAGCGUUAUCCGGAUUCACUGGGUUUAAAGGGUGCGUAGGAGGGCAGGUAAGUCAGUGGUGAAAUCUCUGGGCUUAACCCAGAAACUGCCGUUGAUACUAUCUGUCUUGAAUACCGUGGAGGUGAGCGGAAUAUGUCAUGUAGCGGUGAAAUGCUUAGAUAUGACAUAGAACACCAAUUGCGAAGGCAGCUCGCUACACGAAUAUUGACUCUGAGGCACGAAAAGCGUGGGGGAUCAAACAGG